GCCAUCUCUGCUAGUCUUAUGGCAACCACACUCGUCCCUAGAGUGAAAGAAGUACGCAACCAACUUCAACGGCUUAGCGGUUGC
rnacentral:sRNA from 1 species